GGGAAUCCCAAACGUCUUCUAAAAAGUCACGUAAACGAAAACGAAAUUCUUCUCGCUGCACCUGCUGCACCUGUCCCCGACACCCUGUCAAAAUGGCCAAAACUGAGAAGCGCCCUCUACCGAAGGGAUAUGGUUAUGUUCCUUGGCUAUCGGUGGGUAGGAUAGGUCCCUACCAUCCAAGUUUUACCAAUCAAAUUGGUUACAUGACUUGUGCCCGUUGUGGUAUCAAUGGUGACCACUGGGAACCAUUUUGCACAAAUCCAAUCAAUGAUGCGCCAGAAGAAUAAGCUGCUGCCGAUCCGGUGUCAUGGAAGAAUAUACUGGGGAAUUUCAAUGCAAAAGAAUAUCUUGAAAAACAGAAACUUAAGUCUCAAGGGAAACAAAAACGACAUGUUGAGACGGUGGUGAAAACAAAUGGCCGUUUAGCUGGACGUGUUAUUUCGCGCCGUCUGUGUGCAUAAGAAUGCUUACUACAUGUUGACUUGUCGUUGUGGUAAUGGUCACUGCUCAGGUGUUAUUUCGCCAGGAAGUUGCUGAUCUCACUAACUAGUGGAUGUUUAUAUUGAGGAAUUUCAGUUUAAAUCCUAAUCAUAUUGUCUGUUUAAAUUGAAGUAGUGCGCUAUGUUAUGCUUGUUACUGGAAUCCCCUUUUAUUGCUCUAUUUACAGCUAAGCAACAAUGCAGCCCGUCUGCCAAAACUUCUCACCCUAUUCUGCCUACU